rnacentral:misc_RNA from 1 species
GUAUUCACACCGACCCGGAUACGGCGCAGACCAUCAUUUCGGGCAUGGGCGAGUUACACCUGGAGAUCAUCGUCGAUCGCAUGAUGCGCGAGUUUAACGUCGGCGCGAACGUCGGAAAACCCCAGGUGGCCUAUAAGGAAACGAUCCGGAAAAAGGCCGACGCCGAAGGCAAGUACAUCCGCCAGACUGGCGGCCGCGGUCAAUACGGGCACGUUCGGAUAACCGCCGAGCCCAGUGAGGUUGGCGCCGGUUUCAUCUUCGAGAACGAAAUUGUGGGUGGGUCGGUUCCCCGGGAGUACAUCAAGCCUAUCGAG